GAUGAACGCUAGCUACAGGCUUAACACAUGCAAGUCGAGGGGAAACGACAUCGAAAGCUUGCUUUUGAUGGGCGUCGACCGGCGCACGGGUAAGUAACGCGUAUCCAACCUGCCCAUCACUUGGGAAUAACCUUGCGAAAGUAAGACUAAUACCCAAUGACAUCCCACGAAGACAUCUGAAUGGGAUUAAAGAUUUAUCGGUGAUGGAUGGGGAUGCGUCUGAUUAGCUUGUUGGCGGGGUAACGGCCCACCAAGGCAACGAUCAGUAGGGGUUCUGAGAGGAAGGUCCCCCACAUUGGAACUGAGACACGGUCCAAACUCCUACGGGAGGCGGCAGUGAGGAAUAUUGGGCAAUGGGCGAGAGCCUGAACCAGCCAAGUAGCGUGCAGGAUGACGGCCCUAUGGGUUGUAAACUGCUUUUAGAAGGGAAUAAAGUGGGUCUCGUGAGACUUUUUGCAUGUACCUUAUGAAUAAGGACCGGCUAAUUCCGUG
rnacentral:rRNA from 1 species